rnacentral:rRNA from 1 species
GUGAUGCUGCAGUACUGAUAUGCUGUCUCAAAGACUAAGCCAUGCAUGUCGUAGUUCACACCCUUGUACGGUGAAACCGCAAAUGCUCAUUAAAUCAGCUAUGAUUUCUUAGAUCUUACACAUUUACUUGGAUAACUGUAGUAAUUCUAGAGCUAAUACAUGCCCAACAGGCUGUGGUUCCUCGUGGAUCGCAGUGGGUUUAUCAGUUCAAGACCAACCUGUUUCGGCAGACGUUUUGAUGACUCUGGAUAACAUCUCUGAUCGUAUGGCCUUGAGCCGACGACGUAUCUUUCAAGUGUCUGACCUAUCAACUAUGAUGGUGGGAGAAAUGCCUACCAUGGUUGUAACGGGUAACGGGGCCUCAG